rnacentral:rRNA from 1 species
UACGAAGGGGGCUAGCGUUGCUCGGAAUCACUGGGCGUAAAGCGCACGUAGGCGGAUCGUUAAGUCAGGGGUGAAAUCCUGGAGCUCAACUCCAGAACUGCCUUUGAUACUGGCGAUCUUGAGUUCGGGAGAGGUGAGUGGAACUGCGAGUGUAGAGGUGAAAUUCGUAGAUAUUCGCAAGAACACCAGUGGCGAAGGCGGACCUUCUGGACCAAUACUGACGCUCAUGCACGAAAGCGUGGGGAGCAAACAGG